rnacentral:rRNA from 1 species
GGCCAGCAGCCGCGGUAAAACGUAGGAGGCGAGCGUUAUCCGGAUUCACUGGGCGUAAAGCGCGUGCAGGUGGCUUGGUAAGUUAGGCGUGAAAUCUCCCGGCUCAACUGGGAGAGGUCGUCUAAUACUACCGGGCUUGAGAGCAGAAGAGGAAGAUGGAAUUCCCGGUGUAGUGGUGAAAUGCGUAGAUAUCGGGAGGAACACCAGUGGCGAAGGCGAUCUUCUGGUCUGUUUCUGACACUCAGACGCGACAGCUAGGGUAGUAAACGGGAUUAGAGACCCCGGUAAUCCUAGCCGUAAACGAUGUAAACUUGGCGUUGGUGGGUUAAACUCCAUCAGUGCCGCAGCAAACGCGAUAAGUUUACCGCCUGGGGACUACGGCCGCAAGGUUAAAACUCAAAGGAAUUGACGGGGGCCCGCACA